rnacentral:misc_RNA from 1 species
CGUGCCGUCCUCUUUCUUCAACCCCGCGCAACCCCGGCUAUGUUUUCCUUCCGAACCUAUGAGAUUCCCAUUUACACCCUCUUCAGCAGACAGAAAGUAGGGUUCCAUUUUCACUGACGUCAGCUGUAAAACGGCGUUUCCGAUAUUCAUGGAUUCGUCGUUGUCCUCUCUGCACCUAGCCAUGGCAGCUCUAGUUGGAGCUUCGUUGAUGGCAAUUUCGGCCUUUUACGUUCACAAGCGCGCCGUUGAUCAAGUACUUGAUCGCCUUAUUGAAAUCCGUCUCGGUUCACCUAAAAGUUCCAAAAGGAAAUCAUUCGUCACUGACGAAGAGGAUUCCGAAGAGGACCAGGAGAGUAAUGAUGAAGCCUAUGGGUCCGACAGAGAUGCGGCUGUGGAGAGGAAAAUGUGGAGCCGGAGUGCAUCGAGGUCCUUGGACGAUAAAAGUGUGCUUCGAAGUUAUAGGGUGUCGGCUUCGAUGCCCAAUGCGGUGUUGAGCAAUGAUUGGUUCGAUGAUGAUGAGAAGUUUGAUCAACAGUCGUCGAGGUUUAGUGCUCAGGGUCAGGGAGAGAGGCUUAACUUCGUUCCCUCUGGGCUUCCGUCUCUGCGAAUGUCUACAAGAGAUGGAGAUAAUAAAUCUGUUAACUACUCUAGUUCUGUUGCAAGGAUGGCAUCUUUUGGCAGGCGAAAUACCCCAAGAUCGCCCAGUGCUAAUGCCUUUGAAAGUGAAUGGGAUUCUGACGAGGAAGGAACAGAGUAUGGCAAUGAAGAUGACAUUACUUUCAUUGAUGGGAACAUGGACUCUUCUGCUAAUCGUAUAAAUGUGUGGUUGUCUCCCUUUUUAGCUUUUCUACAUAUUUUGUUUUCUUAUAAUUAAUUCAUUAUCCUUGACAUACAUUAUACCAAAUGUAUGAAGUAGUUCAUGCAAGUUUGGAUAUAUAGAUGCUAUUGGCUAUAAGUGGUCAUGCCCUAUUAAUACGUUAUGCUCUUGGAAAGAUGAUAAUUUGCUCCUCUAGUGUGCAUACUUUUUCUCUGGGAUGCGCAGUGACAUAGUUGAGAGCAUUUAAUUUGCAGCAUCACUUUCUUUGCUUUGUAAUCAUCUAUUUCUCUGGUAAAGGUUUUGUUGCUUGGUUGAAUAACUGAAAUCAAGCAUUUAAAAUCAAUCUGAGAUAUUGUUGCUAAUGAGUUUGCAGGAGGUUGAUUCAAAAUUUCAAAACUCAUCUUUGCUAUUUAGAGGUGACACUGCAAAUGUUAUUAAAGGUCAGAAUAUUGAAGAUCCUGGAGCUGAAGCAAAAGUUGGUGUUGAUAUGCUUAGCAGAAAAGUAGAUAUAGCUUCAGUGCGCCAAGUGGGAAAUGAAGCUGCUUUUGCCUGCACAAUUUUACCUUUGAGAACAACAAUGCAUGAGUCAGUAAAUAUAGAAGAGGAAGAAGUGCGGAAGAUGAUCCGUGAAUGCUUGGAUUUGCGGAAUAGGUAUGUUUACAGGGAAGUGGUUGCUCCAUGGAAGCAAGAUGUUACUGAACUUAGUACCAAAAAAUUGAAAUCAGAUCCGUUUCACUUUGAACCUGUCCCAGCAACUACACAUCACUUUAGGAUGGAAGAUGGAGUUGUACAUGUUUAUGCUAGUGAAAAAGAUACUGUAGAUCUUUUCCCUGUUGCUAGUGCAACAACAUUUUUUACAGAUAUGCACCACAUUUUAAGAAUCAUAUCUAUUGGAAAUGUUCGUACUGCUUGCCAUCACAGACUAAGAUUUCUUGAGGAGAAAUUCCGCCUUCAUCUGUUAGUAAAUGCAGAUAGGGAGUUCUUGGCUCAGAAGAGUGCUCCCCACCGCGAUUUCUACAAUAUCAGAAAAGUUGAUACACAUGUGCAUCAUUCUGCUUGCAUGAACCAGAAGCAUCUCCUGCGAUUCAUUAAGUCAAAGCUAAGAAAGGAACCAGAUGAGGUUGUUAUAUUUAGAGAUGGAAAAUACAUGACACUAAAGGAGGUUUUUGAGAGUUUGGACUUGACUGGGUAUGAUUUGAAUGUUGAUUUGUUGGAUGUCCAUGCUGAUAAAAGCACCUUUCAUCGAUUUGAUAAAUUUAAUCUCAAAUACAAUCCUUGUGGACAAAGCAGACUUCGGGAGAUUUUUUUAAAGCAGGAUAAUCUAAUUCAAGGACGUUUCUUGGCAGAAGUAACAAAAGAAGUUCUAUCAGAUCUUGAAGCAAGCAAAUACCAGGUUUCAUUUACACACUAUAGACAAAUGAUUGAAACUUUUAGUGCCAUUGAUUCUUAUUCUUUAGGUCAUGCUGUUUCUUCCAAUCUAUGACACAGUGGACCAGGAUAUUGCUUUUCAAAGAAACACUGCUGCUCCCUUUUAGUGGAUCAAUUAUUGUUAAGGUUUAGAAUACAUGUGUGAGCGCUUCUCUGGACAUCGCUUUGGAAGAACAGGAAAUUGAUUUUUCUUCCUUUCUUUUUAUCAAGAGCAUUUAAAUAGAGCAGAGAAUCAUUUUUCCAUUUGUAAGAAUAUGAAGAACAGCAUAAAAAAAAAGGUUAUCUUUGGACUUGCUUAUAUUUUCAUGUGGGUUCUCUUUAGCACAAUGCAGGUUUAUAAUCUGCCUUAAAUUAGUGUCCUUCAGGAGACAAUCUGGAUUGCACAUAGUCAAACUAUUGAUUCUAACUCAAAAUUGGGACACAUGUUACCAUUGAUCCUUGGUUUUAUCUUAGGAACCUUUUGCUGCUACUUUAUGCAAUAUGCGCUAAGUUGUAUCUUUAUUUUAAUGACGUUUGGGUCUAAUUUGCAGUUUUAAGUCAAAUACAACCUGAGUUUACAAUAACUUAAUCUGUAACAUUUUGUGGAAUUUUUCUCCUGCUACAAAUUUCAGAUCGCUGAGUAUAGGGUCUCUAUUUAUGGAAGGAAACAAAGUGAAUGGGACCAGCUAGCAAGUUGGUUCGUUAACAAUGCAAUUUGUAGUGAGAAUGCUGUCUGGUUAAUACAGCUACCACGGCUAUACAAUGUGUACAAGCAAAUGGGAACGGUUAAAUCCUUUCAGAAUAUUCUUGAUAAUGUUUUCAUUCCAUUAUUUGAAGUCACAAUAGAUCCAAGCUCUCAUCCUCAGCUACAUGUGUUCCUCAUGCAGGUUGUGGGAUUAGAUAUUGUUGAUGAUGAAAGCAGACCAGAAAGGCGUCCAACUAAGCACAUGCCAAAACCAGCAGAAUGGACCAAUGAGUUCAAUCCAGCCUACUCUUAUUAUGCUUAUUACUGCUAUACGAACUUAUAUACUCUGAAUAAGCUUCGUGAAUCUAAAGGAUUGCCGACCAUAAAAUUUCGGCCACAUUGUGGAGAGGCUGGUGAUAUUGACCAUUUGGCUGCUGCAUUUCUUCUAUGCCAUAACAUAUCUCAUGGGAUCAACUUGCGGAAAUCUCCUGUUCUGCAAUACUUGUAUUACCUUGCUCAGAUUGGAUUGGCUAUGUCACCAUUGAGCAACAAUUCCCUUUUCCUGGAUUAUCAUCGAAACCCAUUUCCGAUGUUCUUCCAGCGUGGUCUGAAUGUUUCACUCUCAUCUGAUGAUCCUUUGCAAAUUCAUUUAACAAGGGAACCACUGGUGGAAGAGUAUAGCAUUGCAGCAAAGGUGUGGAAACUCAGUUCAUGUGACUUGUGCGAGAUAGCGAGAAAUUCUGUUUAUCAAUCUGGAUUCUCCCAUGUGGCAAAGUUGCAUUGGCUUGGCAGCAAAUUUUUUCUAAGAGGUCCAGAGGGAAAUGAUAUUCACAAGACAAAUGUACCCCAUAUGAGGAUUGCCUUCAGACAUGAGACGUGGAAGGAGGAAAUGCAGUAUGUCUACUCGGGAAGAGCUGUUUUUCCUGAAGAAGUAGAAUUUUAAACAGAAUGAAACUGGAUUGCGAAUAAAGCAACUACAAAGUGGACACUGGUUCUCAGUGAGAAUUGGUAUCAGUUCCUCUGCAUGUUUCUGACUUUACCAAAUUUAAGGAGAAGAUGCCAUUUUCAAAGAGGCAAUUUUUAAGAGUAAAUUUCACCCAUCAUCCCGGAAUUUAGGGAGUUAUGAUAGCUUCUUUUUUAAAUUUUGAUUUGUAACAUAAAAUUCCUUUAACAUUAAUUUAGUAAACAUGAAAGUUCGUUUAAUAUAUAAUAACUUGUUUUUCAGUUAUAAAGUUGAUGCGACUAAAAUUUCUCACAUACCUUCGAAUUAAAACAAUCCUCUCUUCCCCCUUGCUCAUCUCUCUCCUUUUCUCAAGUCAUUGCUCUCCGUCUCCUUCACAGUUCAAAGUAUUGUCACUCAUUCCUUUCAAGAAUAGUGACUACUUCCCAAAUCAUUGCUCAUUGUCUCCUUCACAAUGUACAUUAAAAGUAAUAACCAUUUUUGUUCCUGGUGCUGUUGUUGCUCCUCCUUGUGCUUUUAUUAUUGCCCUUUAAUUCCUGGAUUGCGUUCUCAUCCACCCUUCAAUUGAUGUUUUCUUGUUUUUUCGGUCUGCACUUCACUUCUCCUCUACCUUCUCAGUUUUCAAUCUCAAUCGGCUUCACUCUUUCACAGGUGGCAGUGGAUUUUUCCAAGAACCCAAAGCCCACCUUCUCAAUAGUUUUCUUGGCAUCAGGUAAUUCUAAAUUUUAGUUGUUCUUGACAUCAGGUAAUUCUAAAUUUCUAAUUGUUGUUUGUUGCUUUGCUGGAAAAAUGGUUUAUUUUGGAAUUCUUGCGUUGGUUCAGUAUUGAGGGUUCAAGUAGUAAUGACAAAAGAGGAUGCAUGGGUUAUCAAGUGAGGAUGAUCAUAUUUGCUCAUCUUACCACCAUUGACUAUAAAUUCAUCUCAUCUUUGCUUUUUUCUACUUUUGGUGUCGAGACCAAUAUGGAAUACCUCGUGAGGUUCACUGUCCCUCGAUUAAAAUUCAAGUUGUAUUGCUUCGAUCUAGAGAUUGUGUGAACUAUGAUAUCCACUUCUGUGAGGCAAGCACUCGAACAAACACACAAUAAUGCAAGAAAUUAUUUAGCUGCUCUGCUGGAGCCUUGCGUUUGCAGAGUGAAAUCUUUGGAUUAUAUGGAAUGGGAUUUGAGUGAAAUCCUGGUUAGUGACUCUGGCAUAUUUGAGCCAAUAACCAACAGCUUGUAGUUUCUGAAUUGUUUGAUGAUAAUAGUGCGUGUAUUAUGAGAAGAAAUUAUCACUUUUAUAAACAGAUAUUAUACUAAUGUGUUGCCUAUUGCUUCCCUUAAAUUAUAAUGUAGAUCACCAAUUUGUGGUGAAUGAAGUUGAG